AUGAGAGGGCCGUGCUUCAUGAACAUCUUCAGAAGGUUGGCAAGUUUGACCCCAUCACACGGGAGCCGCUGGAGCCACAUCAGCUCGUUCCGAAUCUUGCCAUUAAAGAAGCUGUUCGAGCAUUCCUUGAUGAACAUGGUUGGUCUUACAAGAUGCAGCGUUAGCUUCUAAUGGUGUUGCAUAUAUAUGCAAGCGGGAUGUUUGAUUUCAAGUUCUCAUGCUCAUUAUAUCCAUCAUGUGUUCCUCGCUUGUCGACUUCUGUUUUGCUGAAAGGCUUUAACAUAUGAAGUAAGUAUACAGAUGAAUUUGUAGUUCAGGCAACUGCAUAUGUAUGCAAGGAAAUUAAAACUUUGUAUAUUUACUGGACCUAUACUGAAUUAUGCAAAUGUUUUGGCUUUUUACUUGGU